rnacentral:lncRNA from 1 species
UUUUUUGAUUUUGCUUGCAUGAUGUUGGAUUAGAAUAAUCCAUAUAAAUCAGUGGUUUCCCCUCACUAGGAAUACUGUGUUUACUUCUGGUCUUCUGAUGUCAAAAGGAUGCAUAAAAAAAUAGGGAGGUUCAGAAAUAAAUAACAAAAAAGCCUUGCAUGUACAGCAGUGGAUUAGAAUCGUUUACUCAGGAGAGGAGUAAGACAGAAUAUACUCAAAGUAAACAAAAUAGUAGCAAACCAGAGAAGGCAUGCUGAGCAUUUCAGUCACCCUUUACAGAAUAUAAUGAUGGGGUGCUUUUCCCAAGGAAAACUUAAACAUGGAGGUCUUUGACAAAGAGAGCUGUUUAUGCUAUGGGAACGGCAGAAUUCUCAAUGCUUUCUUCCAACCAAGACGUAGAGUUCGCACCCACAAGACGGAACUGAAGUAGGACAAAGAAGAAAAAGCUAAACUCAAGUCAUGUAUUUAGUUGCCUAGAGACUUAACUCGUGGAAACCUAAACAUCCAGGCCAAAGUCCUCCAAGACAUUUAAGCACUCCUUUUCUACUGAUACCAGUUAUCAUAUGAAAAUAGUGAGGCUUGCUGUCGAAAUAUGCCAGAUGAUCUAGACUGUUACAGCUUCAAGCUCUCCCAAGUCUAGGCAGCAACAGUGGUGGUAAUAUGAAAAUACUUACAUGCGGAUAGUAGCUGGAUGCCUAUUUCCAUUUUCAAAUCAUCGCGAGACUCUGUUGUAUGUAAAGACUGUGAUUAAACAGCAUUUUCUAGUUGAUACUGUGUGUGAAAAUAUAAGCCAUGGGGCUUCAUACUUGUGUUUUUGGUAAGGCUACCACUUUUUCCCCAUAAAUAAUCACCAACUCCCCCUUUCCAUCAUGUCCAUUACUGGGUCUCCUCCCCUCCGCCAUGGCAAAUACUUUACGCGCAGCCACGUGGCCCCAUUCCUCAAAUGCCUCCCAAUUUUCAUUACAGCCCUGACCACCUCUGCACCACCCCCCAUCGUUCAACUCUUCUCCAAACUCUUUCUUUGCCUCUAUCUACUUCCCUCCCUGCUGCACCCCCUUCUCUCUCCUCUGCUGUUCA